rnacentral:rRNA from 1 species
UACGUAGGGUGCGAGCGUUGUCCGGAAUUACUGGGCGUAAAGAGCUCGUAGGUGGUUUGUCGCGUUGUUCGUGAAAACCGGGGGCUUAACCCUCGGCGUGCGGGCGAUACGGGCAGACUUGAGUACUGCAGGGGAGACUGGAAUUCCUGGUGUAGCGGUGGAAUGCGCAGAUAUCGGGAGGAACACCGGUGGCGAAGGCGGUUCUCUGGGCAUGACCUGACGCUGAGGAGCGAAAGUGUGGGGAGCGAACAGG